ensembl:lncRNA
GUCUUUUUGCCUUUUCUAAGGCUGCUCCCAGGGCAUAUGGAGUUCCCAGGAUAGGGGUCUAAUUGGAUCUGUAGCCACCCGCCUACACUAGAGCCACAGCAACUCGGGAUUGUUAACCCACUGAGCAAGGCCAGGGAUCAAACCCUCAACCUCAUGGUUCCUAGUCAGAUUUGUUAACCACUGUGCCACGAUAGGAACUCCUCAAGUUCUUUCAAACAGAAGUAAACAAGAACUACAUUUUCCACCUCUAAGGUAGCACUGAUUUACCAGGACUCACUGGAUUGAAUUCCAACUCUGAUUUACACUUUCUAUCAUUUAAUCCUCACAAUAAUUCUAGAAAGCGGCUAUCAUCAGCUUCAUUUUACAAGAGAAUAAAUUGAGGCUUAAGGGUAAGAAACUUGCCCAGGGUCAUAUAUGUUAUAAGACUGACCCCAUAUCCAAGAGGUCAUAAAAAUAUAAUUCUAGGGAGUUCCUGUCGUGGCUCAUCAGUUAAUGAACCCAACUAGCAUCCAUGAGAAUUCGGGUUCAAUCUCUGGCCUUGCUCAGUAGGUUAAGGAUCCAGCAUUGGCAUGAACUGUGGUGUAGGUCGCAGACGUGGCUUGGAUCCCACGUUGCCAUGACUCUGGUGUAGGCCAGCAACUGUAGCUCCAAUGUGACCCCUAGCCUGAGAACCUUCAUAUGCCUAGGGUGUGGCCCUGGAAGGACAAAAAUAAAAUAAAAAAUAAAUAAACAAUAAAAAAAUAAAAAUCUAGUUCUAAUUGGAGUUCCCUCGGGGGUUAAGGAUUCCACAUUGUCACUGCAGCAGCUAGGGUUGCUACUGUGGCUUGGGUUCAAUCCCUGGCCCAGGAACUUUCACAUACUGCAGGCACAGCCAAAAAAAAAAAAAAAAAAUCUAUUUCUAAUUUACUGCAGUUUAUAAAGAAAAGUCUAUAUUUUGAAGAUUAGUGUAAGUUUUAUAAAUUGAUAUCACUGAAAAUUCAGUAUACGAUUAUUUCCAUUCAGUAACUGCAACAAUAAGCUUUCACUGAUUAUUAUAUACUAAGAAUGUUGUUCUAUAUAAUGUAAAUACACACAAGUAAAAUCAAUGAUCGUGUAAAACUCUGAAAAUGAGUAACUGAAAAUGAAAAAAACCUCCAAAAAUGUAACAAGUAUACAUUUUCAAAGAAUAGCUAAUUUAUUAGCUAUUUACAGGGAAUAACUAAUUUAUUAGCUAAAUACAGAUUCAUUUAUUAGCUAAAAAUGAAAUGAAAAAUGUGUGUAACAGUUAAGAUCAAAAUUGUUUUCAAUCAAAAAUUUCAAAAAAUUCCAAAAGUAAACUCAAUCUUUAAAAAAAGUAAAACUAUGAAGUGUUAAGUUACACAGAAAUUCCAAUGCCUGGUUUUGGUUUUUGUUUCCCCCGAAAGGAGGAAUGUAACUGAAGAUUUAUUUUUAUUUUUUUUAUUAUUUAUUUAUUUAUUUAUUGUCUUUUGGCCGCUUCCCUCGGCAUGUGGAGGUUCCCAGGCUAGGGGUCGAAUCAGAGCUGCAGACACUAGCCUAAGCCACAGCCACGCCAGAUCCAAGCUGCUGGCUACAGCUCCGAUUCACCCCAUACCUUGGGAACCUCCAUGUGCUGUGGGUGUGGCCCUAAAAAGGCAAAAAAAAGAGAAGAAACUGAGGACCUAAAUGUCACAUCACAUUGCUCUAAGAUUGUAAUAAGAUUACAGUAAGGAUUCCUACCCACAUUUGACUCCAUACUCAGCACAUCAUGCAAUUAACAACCACACGGAGUUCCCUUCAUGCCGAAGUGGAAACAAAUCCAACUAGGAACCAUGAGGUUUCGGGUUCCAUCCCUGGCCUCCCUCAGUAGGUUAAGGAUCCGAUGUUGCUGUGAGCUGUGGUGUAGGUCGCAGACGCGGAUCUUAUCCCGAGUUGCUGUGGCUCCGGCGUAGGCCCGCGGCUACAGUCUGAUUAUACCCCUAGCCUGGGAACCUCCAUAUGCCAAGGGUGUGGCCCUAAAAAGACCAAAAAAAAAAGGCAAUUAACAACCGCAAAACACACCAUCCCUUUAGGAAAAGUCAAGCUGAUCUGCAGCUGCAGCAUACAUCACAGCCACAACAUCAGAUCCUUAACCCACUGAAUGAGGCCAGGGAUCAAAACGGCAUCCUCACAGACACUAUGUUGAGUCCUUAACAAGCUGAGCCACAACAAGAACUCCAAGAACAGGAGAAUUUAAGUUAAAAUCCAAGCAGUUAUCUUUUAAACAAGUUUUGUGCCCUGCAACUAGUCUGUGACUAGCACAGAACAAGGGCCAAAUAAAAGUUUACUGAAUGGAAUGAAAAGAGGUAGCUUAGUAACAGAGGAAGAAACAGGAUCAUCUCCACUCAAAGCCUUUCUAAAGGAGUUAAUAUAAAACUAUCUCUUACCAGGCAACAUACACAAUUUUCUUUGUAAAGAAUAAAACACUGCAUCAGGAGUUGGAAAAAAAAAAAAAAGAAUGAUCAUAUAUAAAAAUUACUAAUAAAGAGCAAGCUACUGGAUUAAACAGUUUAUAGAAGCCUUAAAGAGAGUUCUAGCAUGUUCCACUCCAUUACACUUGUCUGACUCUGCCUUGUAACAGUUAAUUAAACAUAUCCUGCUUCCAUAAUUAGCUAGUUGCUAACAGAGACCUUGGUCAUUUUUGUGUUCCUCAAAACAGCAAAAACAGGACCUGGCACUUAAUACCAAUAGAUAAAAUUUUACAAAGAUAUUUUACAGAUCAAAAACCUUUUUCAGAUGUAUUUACCCUAAAAGCCUUUCAAGAUAAGUAUAAUAACUAUCUGAAUUUUACAAUGAUACCAAAGUCCAAGACUAAGAGCUAAGGUUCAAGAGGCCAGGCAUCCUUCUGUAACACCACAACUACCAAAAAAGGCCCUCAAUAAGUUUACGUAGAUUGACUCAGCUGUCCCUUGAAAGAUCAUCAUUUUCUCGAGAUUAUAACACCAUCAGCUGUUGCUAUGAGAAAUGACUGUAUAGCCACUUAAGACUGAUAACUUUGCUAGAAAACAGGUAUUUUCAUUCAGCUUGAUAAGGCUAGUUAAACUUUAAACUUAUUAUCAGUGAUUCGAAAACUUUAGUAAGACUAAGUACUGGGGAGCUUGAUAAAAAUGAACAUCUUGGGUCACUUACCACUCUAGAAAUUGUGGUUCAGAGUGCCAGGAAUCUGCAUAUGCUAAUAAGCACUCUCAGUGAUUCUAAUAAUGAUAGUCUUUAGGGACACAGUAAGAACUGAACUGGAUUUUUUAAAACCUAAAUUAAUCUACCUCCCCCCAACUUUUUAAUGAAGUCAAUUUUUUUACAGUUAUAAAUAUUUAGGGAAAAUCUUAACAAAAAAACAAUACAAGGCUAUGGCAUCUAAUAGAACAGGUCCUCAAAAAAAAAAGUUCAAUACACAAAACCUCCUUAAAACUGAAGCUGCACAGGAGGUAAAUCAGGGGUCUUUUAGGUAGUAGCUAAUAAAUUCAACUAUGACUGCAACGUAAUUUAGCAAAACAUUUUUAUACAAAUGACUGGAUGUUAAACAGUAAAAUGGAACAGUUAACUCUGAAGCUAAUACAGAGAUAAUAAUUUAAAAAUCACCAGUAAUACAAGCCAUUUUAAACUUUAAGUGACCAAAACGUUCUGUAAGAUGAUGGGUGACUUUUCCCCUAUUAUUAAACAUUUACUGAGGGUCAGCACAGUACUUCUCUGUACUUUUCAAAUUUUCUACAAUAAACAUAUAUUUUCAGGAUUAUAAAAGUUUUAUAAGUACUUAAUAAUCCUCCAUACUUCACAUACAUUAUAGGAAAACAAGAAUAACCUGAACCACAUUUAUCAUAAAUACCCAAAGGGCUGACUUAAUGGUAUCAAACCGUGAUCACCAACUUUUUUUUAUAUUAAUACCAAAAUAAAUCACUUAAUUACUAAAAUCUAGAAUAUGUCCUAUUUCCAUCAGGUCUCUGUUACUGGGAUAGUUAGCAUGACUUUUUAAAAUCCUCUUGUCAUCCAUCCUAUGGAUCUAUUUAGGGGGACAAUUUUGAACCACGGACUAAGGCAUUACAAUACUCACACUCUUACGGGGGGGGAGGGGUGAUGGGGGGAACAGACCUUUGUUUUUUUAAAAAAGAUGUUUUUCUAAUUUUGAGUAUUAUCUGGGAGACGUUAACAUCUCAAAGCUGGAAUGGGGCUUUCUCCGAGGCAGACCACGCUUAGAAGCAAAAGGUAACAGAAGCAGCAGAGAUGAGCUGCCGGUAGGUGAUGAAAUUUCACCUCAAAGAAGACGCAAAAGGUUGUUUUCAAGCCAGUCGGAUGGGUGAAUGACACUCCAGGGAGUUCCAAGGGCUUCCAGGGCCC